rnacentral:rRNA from 1 species
UACGUAGGGUGCGAGCGUUAAUCGGAAUUACUGGGCGUAAAGCGUGCGCAGGCGGCGCGUUAAGACAGGUGUGAAAGCCCCGAGCUUAACUUGGGAAUUGCGCUUGUGACUGGCGAGCUGGAGUGUGGCAGAGGGAAGUGGAAUUUCCGGUGUAGCGGUGAAAUGCGUAGAUAUCGGAAGGAACAUCAGUGGCGAAAGCGACUUCCUGGACCAGUACCGACGUCAGGCACGAAAGCGUGGGGAGCAAACAGG